CUUUGCCCUAAAAAAAGAAGCCUGCCCUUUUUUGUGUGUGUGACUUCCUUUUGUGAAUGUUCAUCUCCAAAGAGACAAAAUUAGGAGAUCCCACAGAGCAGGAAGAAUUUAGGCAAAGAACGCAAGAAAGAGACUUUUAAAAAACGUCUGACCGUCUUGGUUAGUAUGAAUCCCUAGUAGAAAACACACUAUGGCUGGCAAUGACUGCAAAAGGUAAUGACAACCCUGGCACAUGUUAUUUAAUCCAGGGAGUCUCUGAAACUAUCAGAGUGGUUGCCUUCUGCCACCUACCUGAGAUCCUGGGUGUGCUGAGAGAUUACGGACACUUGGUGCCAUCAAGAAAAGCUACGCAGCCGGAGGUGAUACCAGAGGAGACGAGGAAUGCUACGGAGAGGCAGAUUCGCACGACCUUGAUCCUGUGCUAUGGGCAAGCAGCCCUGGGCGCAAAGCCGGAGGACAUGCUGAUGCUAGUGGACUUCAUCGUAGCUGAGAUCCUUUACCAGUUCCGUGGCACCAAUAAGGUCUUCUUCCCUUUCCUUUUGGACUCCUGUUACUCAGGGACUCCCAGCUUUCUUCUUUCGUGCAAAUUUUGGCAGUGGAGACAUCAGCUUCCCACAAAACCUCCAUCCAGGCACUGAAACGGUGUAUGUGUUAGGACUGACUCAGGGUGUGANNNNNNNGAUACAGGUUGAUCUGUUGUGAUUUGCACCUAUGAAAGUUGGGUUUCCCAGGUGAAUUUGCAGAGGGUCACCAGGGGGCAGAGGCGGAGAGCUUCUCCAACAGCAGGAGCUGCCUUAACAAGGUGCUAACAAGUGGUCAUUGGCACUUCCCACUUCUCUGUUUUUUUUUUAAUUGGUCUUGCUGAUGCUAUGAAAACAGUGAAAAUCUCUUCCACCGCUGAGGUGAAACCUUUUAAAAAAUGGUUUGGAGACGGGGUACUUGAUUGAGGGGAACUGGCAAUCCUGGAAGUGCCCCUUUCCUUUGGGUAAGGUAAUCACACUGGCCGAAAGCGGGUAAAAGUGAUGUCAAAACAACUGUAGUAAAUUUAAAUCACCCCAGCAGCUGAACAAAAAAAAGGACCAUACCCUGGUCAAAAAACACAUCCACAAUAGGCUUCUCCACAUACAGCGUUAUGUUGGGUAGCCUACAAAUUCAGAGGUUCUCCCUUUUUCCCCUUAUGUGAUGGUAUUUCUCCUCCAUUUGUCGACAAAUUAUGUUGUAUUAU
rnacentral:lncRNA from 1 species